rnacentral:rRNA from 1 species
CGGUAAUACGUAGGGGGCAAGCGUUGUCCGGAUUUACUGGGUGUAAAGGGCGCGCAGGCGGAUUGACAAGUCAGAGGUGAAAUCCUGCAGCUUAACUGCAGAACUGCCUUUGAAACUGUCAAUCUUGAGUACGGAAGAGAGAGACGGAAUUCCAGGUGUAGUGGUGAAAUACGUAGAUAUCUGGAAGAACACCAGUUGCGAAGGCGGUCUCUUGGUCCGUUACUGACGCUCAGGCGCGAAAGCGUGGGUAGCAAACAGGAUUAGAUACCCUGGUAGUCCACGCUGUAAACGAUGAAUACUAGGUGUUGGAUCGCAAGAUUCAGUGCCGCAGCUAACGCAUUAAGUAUUCCACCUGGGGAGUACGAUCGCAAGGUUGAA